rnacentral:rRNA from 1 species
AGUGAACGCUGGCGGUAGGCCUAACACAUGCAAGUCGAACGGCAGCACAGAGGAGCUUGCUCCUUGGGUGGCGAGUGGCGGACGGGUGAGGAAUACAUCGGAAUCUACUCUGUCGUGGGGGAUAACGUAGGGAAACUUACGCUAAUACCGCAUACGACCUACGGGUGAAAGCAGGGGAUCUUCGGACCUUGCGCGAUUGAAUGAGCCGAUGUCGGAUUAGCUGGUUGGCGGGGUAAAGGCCCACCAAGGCGACGAUCGGUAGCUGGUCUGAGAGGAUGAUCAGCCACACUGGAACUGAGACACGGUCCAGACUCCUACGGGAGGCAGCAGUGGGGAAUAUUGGACAAUGGGCGCAAGCCUGAUCCAGCCAUACCGCGUGGGUGAAGAAGGCCUUCGGGUUGUAAAGCCCUUUUGUUGGGAAAGAAAUCCAUCUGGUUAAUACCCGGGUGGGAUGACGGUACCCAAAGAAUAAGCACCGGCUAACUUCGUGCCAGCAGCCGCAGUAA